AACUUUGAAGGCCGAAGUGGAGAAGGUUUCCAUGAGAACAGCAAUUGGUCAUGGGUGACUCGGUCCUAAGAUAUUGGUAAACACCUUGCAAUUGAGCUUUGGCUCGCGAUCGAAGAAGGGAAAAUGAGGUUAAUAUUCCUCAAGCUGGAUGUGGGUGUUGUAUGGCAACAUAAGUGAACUCGGAGACGUCAGCAUGAGCCUCUGGAAGAGUUAUCUUUUCUUUUUAACAGGUUAGUGACCUUGAAAUUGGAUUAACCAGAGCUAAGGUGGCAUGCCUGGAAGAGCACCUUGCUUUUUGAGGUGUCAGGUGCGCUCAUGAUGGCCCGUGAAAAUCCGAGUGAGAUAAUUUCACACCAGGUCGUACCCA
rnacentral:rRNA from 1 species